rnacentral:rRNA from 1 species
CACGUAGGGUGCGAGCGUUGUCCGGAAUUAUUGGGCGUAAAGAGCUCGUAGGCGGUUUGUCGCGUCUGCCGUGAAAGUCCGGGGCUCAACUCCGGAUCUGCGGUGGGUACGGGCAGACUAGAGUGUGGUAGGGGAGACUGGAAUUCCUGGUGUAGCGGUGGAAUGCGCAGAUAUCAGGAGGAACACCGAUGGCGAAGGCAGGUCUCUUGGGCCAUUAACUGACACUGGAGAAGCGGAAAGCAUGGGGAGCGAACAG